UGGGCAGAUCGGAGCAGCAACAGUCCCGACUGUGGAUCACGGACAUACGCCCCACACUUGAACAGGGCAGCCACACUUGGCAGGCGCCCCUUGAACCUGAGGUUCAGCCACUUGUUGAACCGAUGCCUGAUACCCUUCCCCUCAGCCUCCUGUUUGGCUUCUACUUCCUCCUCAGCCUUGUUAACAAGCUCUUCAUGUUCACGGUUGUUCUGGGGGCUGUUGGUAGCGCGUUCGGCCCAGGCCAUCUUUAUGCGUCCGAAGGGGUUCCGGCGUGAAGGGCGGCCCAAAGGCCUCUCCUCCUCCUGAUCCGGCAGGGUGGUGGUUAGUGUUUCAACCCUCUGCCUUCGUAUUCCCCUCGCCCAGAACCUCACGUUCCCCAUGACCUGGGACAGAUCCUUUCUUGGGGGCGUGUCUGCUGUCGAAGACAGUGAGACAGUCGGACUCAACACACCGCGUCAGGAUAAACACAAACCGACCCUGAAGACCCACGACAGGAAACCAAAAGACGUCUCAGUCGCUCACCUGUCUCAUAUGUUCUUCCCCAUCGGACGAGGAGGACACCGGGUAGGGGGGGGAGGAGUCCGAAGAGGGGGAGGAGGAGUCCGGAUAGGGGGAGGCCUCUUUCCCCUGUCGGAAGGAGAUCAUCACCGUUAGCAACACAGGGUCAAGCUGAACAGCCAGGUGGCCUUGCACCAGGUGUACCAAUACGCCAGCAAGUACUACGAUGGGCUGAGCGCUCCCUGAAACACAGCGCCCGAUUGGCUGGAGUUUAUUUAGAUUGGGUUCCACGCUGCGUCAGAGCCCCAUUGGCUGGCAUUUCAGGCACUGUUGAAGUGUGUGCAAAGGAUCAAGGGAAGUACUCACAUAGGAGCCUGUCUGUCUGCCCCUCUGUCUGCCUGUCGGUAAACUUAUUAGCAGAGGUGAAGGACUUCCGGCUCAGGGGAUGUAUUCAUGUGGAUAUAUUUAUGAACACCCAGGUGGUCGAUAUAUAUCAUCAAAUAAGUGCAGACUACUGUGCAGAUUGGUAACCUAAUCUAGAAAGUUCCACCCUUUAGCCCAAAAGCACACAGAGCAGGAAAGUCUUUCUUUAUUUGUCAUGCCUGCCAAAAUACAAAAUAGAAUCAUGUGUUUUAACUCCCAGUCUAUUUUGGAUGUGG
ensembl:lncRNA